CCUAGGGGUGGCUGCAGUGGGGAAUAUUGGACAAUGGGCGAAAGCCUGAUCCAGCCAUGCCGCGUGUGUGAAGAAGGCCUUCGGGUUGUAAAGCACUUUCAGUGGGGAAGAAAGCCUUGGGGCUAAUACCCUCGAGGAAGGACAUCACCCACGGAAGAAGCACCGGCUAACUCCGUGCCAGCAGCCGCGGUAAUACGGAGGGUGCGAGCGUUAAUCGGAAUUACUGGGCGUAAAGCGCGCGUAGGCGGUCUGAUAAGCCGGUUGUGAAAGCCCCGGGCUCAACCUGGGAACGGCAUCCGGAACUGUCAGGCUAGAGUGCAGGAGAGGAAGGUAGAAUUCCCGGUGUAGCGGUGAAAUGUGUAGAGAUCGGGAGGAAUACCAGUGGCGAAGGCGGCCUUCUGGACUGACACUGACGCUGAGGUGCGAAAGCGUGGGUAGCAAACAGGAUUAGAUACCCCGGUAGUC
rnacentral:rRNA from 1 species